AUGACAAGAAGAUAUUGGAACAUUAAUUUGAAAGAGAUGAUAGAAGCAUGAGUUCAUUUUGGUCAUGGUAUUAAGAAAUGGAAUCCUAAAAUGGCCCCUUACAUUUCGGCAAAGCAUAAAGGUACUCAUAUUAAAAAUCUCGCUAGAACGGCUCGUUUUUUAUCAGAAGCUUGUGAUUUAGUUUUUGAUGCAGCAAGUCAGGGAAAAAUUUUCUUAAUUGUUGGUACCAAAAAAAGAGCAACAGAUUUAGUAGCAUCAGCUGCAAUAAGGGCUCGUUGUCAUUAUGUUAAUAAAAAGUGGUUCAGUGGUAUGUUAACAAAUUGGUCGAUUACGAAAACUAGACUUUCUCAAUUUAGAGACUUAAGAGCGGAAGAAAAAAUGGGAAAAUUCCACCAUCUCCCAAAAAGAGAUGUGGCAAUCUUGAAGAGAAAAUUAUCUAUCUUGCAAAGGUAUCUCGGCGGGAUCAAAUAUAUGACGAGGUUGCCAGACAUUGUGAUCGUCCUUGAUCAGCAAAAAGAGUAUAUAGCUCUUCGGGAAUGUGCCAUUUUGGGGAUUCCUACUAUUUCUUUAGUCGAUACAAAUUGUGACCCAGAUCUCGCGAAUAUAUCGAUUCCAGCCAACGAUGACACUAUGACUUCAAUUCGAUUGAUUCUUAACAAAUUAGUAUUUUCAAUUUGUGAGGCCCGUUCUCUCUAUAUAAGAAAUCGUUGA
rnacentral:rRNA from 1 species